AAAACAUUCACACAGGCGGACCUGCUGGGUGUUGGUAGUUACCCUAAUCUCUGCAAAAAUGAAAAACCCGGCAACAGCAGCACAGCAAUCAAUUCUACUUGCCUGAUAAGGAUAUAUAUUGUUAAGGUGUGUUGGCUUGUCUUUUAACUCUGUAGCUUAAUGUUUUAAUGCUGCUGUUGGAGCCCUGCUACUUUCAGUGGCACUUUAGCGGGCAAGCGUGCAAUCCAAAUUUAUUAUCUUGGGAAAAGUCAGUCGCUCACACAGCAGCUUCCCACUUUGAAACAUCCAACAGAGCCCUGCAGGAUCAGGUCCCAAGCCCAUCUUAUCCACGCUCCUGUUCUCACAGUGGCAAACCAGAUGCCUGCAAGAAGCUUACAAGCAGGACCCAAGUUACUGUUAUUCCCAGCCUUUGGUUUUCCUCCAUGUCUCCUCCAGUACCACAAUUUUGUGCGUGUGCAAGACUCCCUCAAAUCUUUGUUUUACUUCUGUUUAUAUUAUUUAUUAUUUAUUUUAUUUUAUUUAUACCCCACACUCCCUGGCCAAGACCGGACUCAGGGCGGCUAACACCGGGUAUAAAAACAAUUGAUUAAAAUACAACUUAAAAACAAGAUUAAAAUACUACUUAAAAUGCAGCCUCAUUUCAGUGGAAGCCCAGAUCAAAAACUGUUUGUGGGGGAGAAAGCGUCAAAGCUUCACCUUUAUAUGUUUAUAUACUGUUGUUUGGUUAGUUUUAGGUGGUGUUUUUUCUUUUGCUGGAUGUUGUUUGGAAAUAGCAUAUAGUGUGCACCACUUAAGAGGCUUUUAAAACAUUAAGCAAUUUAGAAAUGCUUUAAAGUACAGUGGUAACUUGGUUCUCAAACGCCUUGGUACUCAAGCAACUUGGAACCCAAACACCGCAAACCCAGAAGUAAGUCUUCCGUUUUGCGAACUUUUUUCGGAAGCUGAACGUGCUCCAUUUUGAGUGUUACGCUUCUAAUUUGAGUGACACACUUCCGUUUUGAGUGUUAUGCUGAGGUCGGUCUGAUUUUGCGGCUCUUUUCGUUUUGUUUUUGUGACUGUGUGGAACCCAGUUCAGCUACUGAUUGUGUGACUGCAGUACAUUGUUUAUUGCUUCCAUUUUAUGGAUCAGUGGUCUCGUUAGAUAGUAAAAUUCAUGUUAAAUUGCUGUUUUAGGAGUUGUUUUUAAAAGUCUGGAACGGAUUAAUGCAUUUUGCAUGACUUUCUAUGGGAAAGCGCACCUUGGUUUUGGAACGCUUUGGUUUUGGAACGGACUUCCGGAACGGAUUAAGUUUGAGAACCAGGGUACCACUGCAAAAUAAACAUACACUGUAAAAUAUAGCCAUUGUGGCUAGUAGACCUUGAUAGUCACUGAGCACAGCCGAAGAGCAAUGCAAAAUGGAGACCCACUAAAAUUAUUGGGAGAAAAAAAUGGACAGAGUUUUAAUUACGGUAAAAUCUGCGUUGCUUACCUAUCUCAUGCAGUGUUUUCAGCCUGUUUGUGGUUUCUUCUUCCCUUGAUCUCCAGCUUUGCUGCAUAUGCAAUAAGUACAUUUCUGAAUCCACCCUUUUCACAGGGUGUAGGGAUAAAGUGUGGAGGAGAGAAUGGGGAGACACCCUCUGGCACCAUGCCCAGUGACAGUGAGCCUGCUGACUCAGCCUCCCAGCUACAUUUGGAGGAAGGUCUAAACAGGAAGCCUACAUGCACACAGCUGUAGGCUUGCUCAAAAUCAGGAACCUUACAGCUUUUGAUCAAGAGCUUUUCAUACAGCUGCUUGUCACCAAACUAAAAAAAUUUGGCUGCAAAGCCAAAUCAAAGUGAGGACAGAAAGCAAUUGCUCUCGGUCUGAAUAGUUUUAAUGGUAUAGCUAUUCCGAUCUAUACAAUUUCGUUAGAUGCAAAUACAGAGGUACCUCGGGUUAAGUACUUAAUUCAUUCUGGAGGUCUGUUCUUAACCUGAAACUGUUCUUAACCUGACGCACCACUUUAGCUAAUCGGGCCUCCUGCUGCUGCCGUGCCGCCGGAGCACGAUUUCUGUUCUCAUCCUGAAGCAAAGUUCUUAACCUGAAGUACUAUUUCUGGGUUAGCGGAGUCUGUAACCUGAAGCGUAUGUAACCUGAAGCGUAUGUAACCCGAGGUACCACUGUAAAUCAAAUCAGAAUGAGGGCAAUACUCACCGCCCUCAUUCUGUAAGGUGGGGGGGGGGAGAGAAUUAUUUUGCUAGAAUGUGGUGCAGGUAAAUUUCCCAGAGGCAAAGUUUUACACAAAAUGCGUCUCCUAUUUUAGCUCACCCCUCCCCACAUGUGCUUUAUUAACUAUAAUGAGAGCACAGGAACUCUUACCUCCUCAGCAACGUUUGUUGUCUUAGCUGUACGGGACCUGCAGAGGUGAGGUGAUGUUCUUUGAGAAGUAGGUCGCUGGAAAAGAUCUCCAUCAAACCUUGUGUUUUUCUCUCUUGAGAGAUCUCUUGGAAUUUCAUUAUCUCGUGAACUCGAUUUCCUGUGCACACCAUGGGUAAGCUGGGAAGACAGCCCACCCUAACCCAGGCAGGGGGCAGAUCAGGCAAGACUCACAGCUGCUGGUCUCAGGCCAGAACAAGGUGGGCUGUGAGGCAGAGGGAGCAGCAGGAGGUACGCUCUGGAAGGCUAAGGCAGGCAAGGACCCACAGCCAAAGGUUGGGCUUGCUAGCUUGGGGAGGAGGUGUGUUAUUCUUCAGCUGGAGUUGGCUCAGGACAGGUGAAGGUCACCUGCCUCAUCAAGCCCAGAGGCUACAAUCAAUUUGCAAGGCUUAAAAGGGAAGCAGAGCUGAGGCUCUGUUUCUGCUCACCUGCAAGGUCCAUGUUGAUGGACCUUGGCUUGGAUGUUCUAGGACAGGCUUCCUCAACCUCGGCCCUCCAGAUGUUUUGAGACUACAACUCCCAUCAUCCCUGACCACUGGUCCUGCUAGCUAGGGAUCAUGGGAGUUGUAGGCCAAAAUCAUCUGGAGGGCAGAGUUUGAGGAAGCCUGUUCUAGGAUCUCUGCAGGACUGUGGUUUGGGUUUGACUCUGGUCUGUGUUUCCUGACUGCUGGAAUUUGGACUUGACACACCGUCUACGCCAGUGGUGCUUGCCACCAGAUAGAACAAAUAAGCCUUUUUGGUUGCUGCUUCACACUGUCGACUCAUAUUAAGCUUGUGGUUUACUAAGACCCCUAGAUCCUUUUCACUUGUACUACAGUACUGGUGGGACGUGGGUGGUGCUGUGGGUUAAACCACAGAGCCUAGAGCUUGCCGAUCAGGUCGGCGGUUCGAAUCCCCGUGACGGGGUGAGCUCCCAUUGCUCAGUCCCUGCUUCUGCCCACCUAGCAGUUCGAUAGCACAUCAAAGUGCAAGUAGAUAAAUAGAUACCACUCCGGCGGGAAGGUAAAUGGCGUUUCUAUGCGCUGCUCUGGUUCGCCAGAAGUGGCUUAGUCAUGCUGGCCACAUGACCCGAAAGCUGUACGCUGGCUUCCUCGGCUAGUAAAGCGAGAUGAGUGCCGCAACCCCAGAGUCGUCUGCGACUGGACCUAACGGUCAGGGGUCCCUUUACUUUUACAGUACUGGCAAGUCAGGUGUCCCCAAUACCAAACUGGGCAAACUGGGGUGAGGGAUUUUGCGGGGAGGGAUUUUGUAGAGUCUUGAAGUAGCGUUUUCCAUAUUGUUGAUAUUAUCCCUUUGCAACUGGGCGAACUGGGCAUCCCUGACCACUGGUCCUGGUAGCUGGAGAUGAUGGGAGUUGUAGUCCCCAAACAGCUGGAGACCCAAGUUUGGGAAACAGAGGGCUGGCCUUUAGCGCAAGAGCAGAGUCUAUGCUUAACAUAACGAAGGGCUCUCAUUCAAUCCUGUCCUCUGCAGAUAAAAAGUUCAGGUAUGGGAAUACCUCUUUCUACCUGAGACUCUGGAAAGCCACAGAGUAGCAAAUGAUGGGCUUGGAUAGGUAAUCUGAGCGGGUAUAAGGCAACUUCUUAUGUUCCAAUAAGUGUGGAUGGAAUUAAUGCAGCCAUUAAUGCUGAUGGAGUCGUAUUCUUCUGUCAAGGGUGCAUUUCCUUGGGGAUAAUCUGCCUGGGCCACAUUCCAGUAGCAGGGACAGCUAGAGACAAAGUGAUUGGAGGUUGCAGCAGAAAUUUUCUCUCUCUACUUCGGCACCGUCCCUCAUUCUUUCUGCUGCUCCACCUCUCUCUCUCUCUCUCUCUCUCUCUCUCUCUCUCUCUCUCUCUCUGUUAUGUACUGAGUUGAAUAGGAUCUAAAAUGCAGCAGUCUGAUUGGUCCUAGAACAAUGCAGCAGUUUGAUGCGUCUGCAGGAGCCACCCAAUCCAGCUCCAGAUGGAAGUGAAUCCGCAACCUGAUUGGCCUACAGGAGAAUUCCGGAAUUAGCCAAUCACGUGCAGCCCAUUGUGUUAAUAAUGUAUAUAAAGCAGAUACUUUGGGGGAACUUUCAUUCCUCCUCCCAUUAUGAGCUGAAUAAAGAGCAUGAAAUCCA
rnacentral:lncRNA from 1 species